rnacentral:snRNA from 1 species
GGAUGUGAGGGCGAUCUGGCUGUGACACUGUCACCCCAUUGAUCGCCAGGGUUGAUUCGGCUGAUCUGGCUGGCGAGGCGGGUGGCCCCUUCCUCCCUCACCGCUCCAUGUGCGUCUCUCCCGAAGCUGCCCGCUCAGUGGAAGAGGACGGCCUUCCCUGAAUAGAGACGGACCGGUCUUCAGUCAAGGGUAUACGAGUAGCUGCGCUCCCCUGCUAGAACCUCCAAACAAGCUCUCAAAACAUAAGCUUGUACUUGAACUCACAUAGAGAUGUAUGGUGUUUGUGUCUGUGAUUCUUU